AUGACAUAGAGCAAUGGGGAAGUGCUACAGAAACCUCCUGCCUCAGCUUACACUUGAAGCCCCAAGACUGUGCCCAUCCUCUGUCAUUUGAGGAAGUUAUGACCUCCCAGCAAUGCUGUCACGGCCCAGGGUGUCCCAUGCAUUGCUCUGUCAGCUCUACUUGGUGUCAGCAUUGUGGGACAAACCAUCAAAGUCAUCUGCUCCAGGGAUGGCAGCAGCUGCGACCAGUACCAGCCUAAGUUUCCUGGCUGUGGGAUCUGCUACAAGGACUUGGGACCACCAGACAUCCCUUUGGGAUUCUCCAGAUGCCAGCCUGGCUCCAUGAGCACAGUAGCUUUCUCUGGGGUCCAAGGCCAGGACAAGGCUGUCUGUUAAUGUGGUAACUACCAAAAUGGCAGUGAUGAUGUUACCAUGGUGAAACAGAACAAUGGGGAUGGGAUACAAAGUCUUCCUGCCAUGGCAGGGGCCUGUUAGGAGCCUCUGUUGUCCCUGUUUGGUGGGGCAGGUCCCUGGCACAACCCUGCCUUUUUCGGCCCUGUGGUGAAUGUGGCUGUUCCCAGUGACACAGCUCCAUCCUUACAGCCCUUUCCUUGUCAUUUGUGGAUGAGAGCAGAUAGGAUAGAACAGAACAGACCAUUUCAGAUGGAAGAUGCCUUCAAUGAUCGCACAGUCCAACUGCGUGGCCACUUCAGGGAUGACAAAAAUGUAGGGCAUUGUCCAAGUGCCUGUAUAACACUUGCAGGCCUGGGAUAUCAUCCAGCUCUCUAGGAAACCUGUCCAGUGUUUGCCCAGAUUCUCAAUAAAGAAAUGCUGGGAUAACCUC